rnacentral:rRNA from 1 species
UAUUUUGAACCGCAUGGUUCAAUAGUGAAAGACGGUUUCGGCUGUCACUUAUAGAUGGACCCGCGCCGUAUUAGCUAGUUGGUAAGGUAACGGCUUACCAAGGCGACGAUACGUAGCCGACCUGAGAGGGUGAUCGGCCACACUGGAACUGAGACACGGUCCAGACUCCUACGGGAGGCAGCAGUAGGGAAUCUUCCGCAAUGGGCGAAAGCCUGACGGAGCAACGCCGCGUGAGUGAUGAAGGUCUUCGGAUCGUAAAACUCUGUUGUUAGGGAAGAACAAAUUUGUUAGUAACUGAACAAGUCUUGACGGUACCUAACCAGAAAGCCACGGCUAACUACGUGCCAGCAGCCGCGGUAAUACGUAGGUGGCAAGCGUUAUCCGGAAUUAUUGGGCGUAAAGCGCGCGUAGGCGGUUUCUUAAGUCUGAUGUGAAAGCCCACGGCUCAACCGUGGAGGGUCAUUGGAAACUGGGAAACUUGAGUGCAGAAGAGGAGAGUGGAAUUCCAUGUGUAGCGGUGAAAUGCGCA